UUAUUGGUGGUUCCAAACUUCUUCCAUUUAAGAAUGGUGGAGGCCACUGUGUUCUUGGGGACCUUCAAUGCUGCAGAAAUGUUUUGGUCCCCUUCCCCAGAUCUAUGCCUCGACACAAUCCUGUCUCGGAGCUCUAUGGACAAUCCCUUCAAACCUCAUGGCUUGGUUUUUGCUCUGACAUCCACUGUCAACUGCGGGACCUUAUAUAGACAGGUGUGUGCCUUUUCAAAUCAUGUCCAAUCAAUUGAAUUUACCACAGGUGGACUCCAAUCAAAUUGUAGAAACCUCAAGGAUCAUCAAGUUGAAGAAACAUCUUAAGGAUGAUCAAUGGAAACAGGAUGCAUCUGAGCUCAACUUCGAGUCUCAUAGCAAAGGGUCUGAAUACUUAUGUAAAUAAGGUAAGCAUUUUUAAUACAUUUGCUCAAAUAAAAAAAUAAAAACUGUUUUCACUUUGUCAUUAAGGGUUAUUGUGUGUAGAUUGACGAGGAAAAACAUUCAUUUAAUUUAAUCAAUUUUAGAAUAAGGCUGUAACGCUUCAAAAUGCAGAAAAAGCUCAGGUGCACAGGUGUUUAUAGGUACACAGGUGUUUAUAGGUACACAGGUGUUUAUAGGUACACAGGUGUUUAUAGGUACACAGGUGUUUAUAGGUACACAGGUGUUUAUAGGUACACAGGUGUUUAUAGGUACACAGGUGUUUAUAGGUACACAGGUGUUUAUAGGUACACAGGUGUUUAUAGGUACACAGGUGUUUAUAGGUACACAGGUGUUUAUAGGUACACAGGUGUUUAUAGGUACACAGGUGUUUAUAGGUACACAGGUGUUUAUAGGUACACAGGUGUUUAUAGGUACACAGGUGUUUAUAGGUACACAGGUGUUUAUAGGUACACAGGUGUUUAUAGGUACACAGGUGUUUAUAGGUGCACAGGUGUUUAUAGGAGCACAGGUGUUUAUAGGUACACAGGUGUUUAUAGGUACACAGGUGUUUAUAGGUGCACAGGUGUUUAUAGGUACACAGGUGUUUAUAGGUACACAGGUGUUUGCAGGUUCUGUGGUUACAUCAAACACACUCAGAAGAAGAGAUUCAAGGUUCUGUGAUUACAUCAAACACACUCAGAAGAAGAGAUUCAAGGUUCUGUGAUUACAUCAAACACACUCAGAAGAAGAGAUUCAAGGUUCUGUGAUUACA